CUUGUCUGCGCCACUAGAGUGUUCUGGUUUUACCAGAGCGUGAAUUGAGGGAGGUGGAACAUCAUUAAGAUCAGCUGUGUUCACAGAAGAGACUGAAAACAGUAACACUCCAGUGAGUAUGAGCUUAUCAAGUCUAAGACCUUCGUCUCUGAGUAUUACUACCCUGGAAGAGGAACCAUGCUGGUGGCAGUGGACAGCACACCAUACAAGAUGAACCUGCUUUAUCUUAUUGUGCUAAUUUAAAGAAAUGAAUGGUUUCUGAUGAGGUCAUAGGGAAGGACACAAAGCCAGGGAGGAGGGCAAAAGACAUCAAUUUUGUGAGGAUGGUACCGGACCUUUCAUGUAGUCACCAUCAUCACAUUUGAAACUAAGGUAAUUUUUAUUUUAUAUUAUCAUUUCCCAGAUGUCUGUUUGUUUUCUAAUGAGAGAGGAAAAAGAAAGGGUGUGAGUUUGGGUGAAGGGGUAUAGAUUCAAAAAGAAGAAGAAGAAGAAGAAGAAGAAGAAGAAGAAGAAGAAGAAGAAGAAGAAGAAGAAGAAGAAGAA